GGAGUCUGGGCCGUGUCUCAGUCUCAAUGUGGCCGUUCAACCUCUCAGUCCGGCUACUGAUCGUCGCCUUGGUGAGCCGUUACCUCACCAACUAGCUAAUCAGACGCGAGCUCAUCUUUCAGCGAUAAAUCUUUGAUAUUAAAGUCAUGCGGCUUCAAUAUGUUAUGCGGUAUUAUCAGUCGUUUCCAACUGCUAUCCCCCUCUGAAAGGCAGAUUGCUCACGUGUUACUCACCCGUCCGCCACUAAGUUAUUAAAAGCAAACUCUCAAUAACUCCGUUCGACUUGCAUGUGUUAAGCGUGCCGCCAGCGUUCGUCCUCGAGCCAUGAUCAAACUACU
rnacentral:rRNA from 1 species